ACCUUUAAAUUUGACAGGUAAAUGUCCAUUGAUUAAUUUGAAACCCUGUGAUUUUAAGCCUAUAAACUUGUACAACAAUAGGCUACUGUUUUUUAUCUGAAAAUGUACCGCAAUGUCAGGUACAAACAUGCCGAGUCAUAGUAUUUUUAUUUGAGCAUUAUUUGCAAAACUGGAACAUUUUAUGGAAACUGUGUCUUUCCCAGCCAUGCCCACCCACUCCCCUUCUGCUACAAGGAAUAUUGGUCUAAACAAACUAGCGUUGUACAGAAAUUUAGUUACAUCUUAUGAUUGCCUGAGAUGGGGAUUAUUAAUUAGUUCAUUAAUAUUAAAAUAGUCCCAGUAACAAUCCCCCAGAAUCUUAUUGCGGAUCGCUACAUUGUUUAUAUAUUUUUAGAUUUUCAUAAACCAUAUAUCUUUUUCAAAUAACAAUUUCUGUGGUUUAUUUCACUGUGAUGUUUCACAUAAUAAUAUGUCUUUUUGACUCUUUAAAGUUACAUUAUAUAAGAGCUAAAACAGCUUAUUGCAGAUAUUUCAUUUGACCUCUUAUGUUAUGUAAAUCAUUAAUUAGAUAUUUAUUCACAUGCCGGGGGGUUGGAUGGCUGAAUGGUUAGCGUGCACGUGCUGUAUCGUUAAGUCUGUCAUUGAGUCGACUGGCGUGGUUUCGAAUCCCCGGUUGUACGUGAUUCGAUGAUAUACAUGUAUCUAGAUUAAAAACAUAUUCAAACUAUGUAAUUUAUUAAACAUUUGCUUCAAAUCCCUCUUAAAACGGGGGGUUGGAUGGCUGAAUGGUUAGCGUGUGUGCAUUGUAUCAUAAAGUCUUUUAUUGAGUCAACCGGCGUGGUUUCGAUUCCCCAGUUGUACGUGACAAGGAGUAGGGUCGCCUGUCCAACCUCGUGGGUUUUCUCCGGGUCCUCCGGUUUUCUCCCACUGCUAAAGACCCCUAUGCGCAAGCGAAUUAUUGAAAUAAAAUUAAACCAUAUGUUAGUCCCGAAAUAACCUAGUUGUGUCGAGUGGACGUUAAACCCCAUUUCUCUCUCUCUCUCUCUAUUCACAUGCCAAGCCCAUCUAUAUCAUCAAAUGGUUUGUUUUCAAUAGAUAUAAACACGAUUGUCAGUUAAUAAUUUGAUUUAAAAUAGAAAGUUAGAUUUGUACUUGAAAAGGACAUCUGAAAUAUUGUCAAAACCGUUUUGUGUAAUUCUAGUAAUUUAUCCCCAAAUAACACAUUCUACAGUAGAUAUCGCUUAUGUGAUAACUUUCAUAUCUCUUUACAUGAAUUUGAUUUAUAUAUAAAGAAUUAUAUAUAUUUAUUUGUGCGUGUAAGAAAGGGUUGGGUGAUAAACAAAAUCUUCUACUCGUCUUUUUUGAUAUCAAAAAAAGACACGUAGGAGAUUCUCUGUAUAAUAAUAUAAGUUAAUUUGCUAAAUGCCUCUGAAGGAUUGUGUACGAAUGUAUGGGGUGUUCCCACUUUGCCGGCAGGCUUUGAUGUCAAAUUUUGCCGCUAACCCAGGGUUGAUCCUAGAAUAAUGGUGUUAUAAACUACAGUAUAGUCCAUAUCUUUUUUAAGAAUAAAAAUGUAUUGAUUUUAACAAAUUUAACUUUUAUUAAAUAACAUUAAAUAAUUUACACAUAUAAAAAUGUAUUGAUUUUAACAAAUUUAACAUUAUUAAAUAACAUUAAGUAAUUUACACAUAUAAAAAUGCAUUACAAUUUACACAUUUAACUUUUAUUAAAUAGCAUAAUAUAAUUUAUAAAUAAAUGCCUUACAACAUAACAAUCUUUUACAGCCCCAUUAAAUAAGAUAUAUUUAUAUUAAUAUAUUGAAUUGAAUUCAUGUUUGAAGGCAUAACGCGGACAUGAACUGUGUUCAAAAUGUCAUUAAUUAGUUGGUUAAUAAAUUUUAUUAAGAGGGAUUAAGAGCUCAUUAACGCUGAACACUAAUGGACGGUUCUUGAAUGACUACUUUUAAACAGAGAAUAGUUUUAAGAUCAAUUAUAGGAUUAACAGUCUGCCGGCAUAGUGGGACACACCGAAUGUAUUGCUUUAUUAUAUAUUUUUAAUACAUAAAAUAAUAAUGUAUUGAUAUGUACAUGUAUACAUUGUUAGGUAACCUUUACAUACUAAUGUAUUGUUAUGUAUCUUUACAUGUACAUGUAUUCAUGUAUUGUUAUGUAUCUUUUACAUGUAUCUGUUUAUGGAUCUUUUAUGUACGAAUAUAUUGGUUUAUGGAUCUUUUACAUGUUUCAGUUAUAUACCAGCUGUUUACUUAUCAGACUCCAUACGUUCAACAUUCACAAUGUAGACAGUAUUCAAACAUCAACACAAGCUUUUGUUGUCUAGACUCUAGAUACUGGAAGGGUUGGGGAUAGGUAGAAAACUGGUUUUGUAGUCCCUGCUGAUAAAUAAACCGCAUAGAAUUUUACCGCCUUUACCACCCACGCUACUAGUAACAUGAUAAUAUUUAUGGUUUAUACACAAAAAAAAAAAUAAUAAUAACAAACCAUAGGUAUAUCUGUUUCAAAUUCAUGUCAAUAAUAUUCCUGCAUAACUGUCGUUUAUUCGAUGUAUACUGACAGUGAAACGUCCAUGAUAACAAUAGUUCAUAAUGUCUAAACAUCCUUUAUCGUCUUUAUAACAGGGUAUUUUAAUUAUUACAUCGACUGCUUUUCUCAACUAAAGGGGGGGAUCACGGUGGCUAAGUGGGUAAGGCGCUGGUUCGCUAGCCUGGAGGUCGGGUGUUCGAUCCCUGCAUUGGCCGAGAAAGUUCAUCCAGAUUUUCCGGCGUGAUUUCCCCUUGUCAGUGAUGCAGGACGGAGGGCCUGACAAGGACAGCUGUCUAGUCGUUCGGAUGGGACGAAAAACCGAGGUCCCGUGUACACAUUGGCGUGCACGUAAAAGAUCCCUUGGCAGUUGGAAUUCGAUAUAAGAGUAGGCCAUAGUGCCGCUGCCCGGGCCAAAUUUCCCUCAUAGCACACUGUACGGCGUAUGCCCGUCUUCAUUAGCCCAGUUUAGGAGCAGAACAGUAGGACGUUAAACCCAUUUCAUUUCAUUUCUCAACUAAAGGCAUCACAGACGUCCACGUACUAUCAGGUCCUGGGGCCUGUUUCACGAAAUUUUAACUAAGAUAAAAUCCAAAUUUUAAUAAUUUAAUUGUAUAAUAUUAGAUUGAUUUUAGCGCUUAGCCAAUCAAAAUUGAAGUAUCUACUAAAAUUUAGAUUUUAUCUUUAGUUAAGAUUUCGAGAAACAGGGCCCUGUUUUUUGGGGGGAUAUUUAUGUUGAGGUAAAUCAUGCAGGGUUCACGCCAAAUUUAAACUUUUUACUAGGUUAUGUUUUUAGUGAAAACUAUUAGAGAAUUUGUACAGGACUGAAUAAUUAUCAGUUAAAAAGUUGAUAUUACAACGAUUUCAGUCAAUCUGUUUUCUCUACCAUUCUUGUGUAGCAAAUUACACCUCUACUGCUUAUUUGCUCCUUUUGGUUUUCGUGAAAACAAAUAGAAGACUAACCUGGAAAUUUUUUGUUAAUUAUUUAUUUUGAAUUGUGUGUGUGUAUAUAUACCUAAUUCAUCCAUUUUGCUCUAACAAAUACUUUUGUGCAGCACAUUGCACGUAGGUACUGCUUAUACACUGCUUUGGUUUGGGAGAUUAAACUGUUAUUUUUUUUUAAUUUUGAUUUGAUCUACAGAAAUCCAUUAGAUAUUAUAUAAUUAAUGUACCAGAAAAUCCAUUAGAUAUUAUAUUAUGUAUAAUGUACCAGAAAAUAAACAAAUUUUGAACAUA